CUAACGGCUUCACUAAGCUCGUUUGUACCGGUGCAACAUUCGUCUCUUCUCAUUUAAAAUGCUUGCCAAAGCUGUAAUCGCGUUCCUCGGAAUAUCUUGCUUCGUUCUAACAAGCGAAGCAGCCGUCGAUCCGCUGUGUGCCAAGUACGGCAGCAACCACACGACUUG